GAACCUUCACAACCGUCCCACUGAGAAAACCAAUCAGAGAGAGAGAGAGAGAGAUACAAAAGGAGACAAGGAUGUUAAUCUGGAUUCAUGAAAAAAAAAAAAAGUAUUUUAUAAGUGUGCCUGACCAUUCAAGUGUGGGAUCGGUGUGCAGCCUUGGAAAGUGGAAAUAAUUAUGGAUACAGGAGAUGGCUUGGUCAUGGGGGCACGAACUUUCCUUGUCACUAAUGGACGUGUACCUGUCAAAGAUCAAAAAGAUCUCAAUCCCAGUACCAUGUUUGCUGAAUAAAUCCAAUCCGACUGCAGAUUUUGACAGUAUUGUUU